GGGUGGCCUGUGCAAGGGGAGUCUACCACACUGUUCCUGAUGAAUGCUGGAGCCCUGCCAAGUUGGAGAUACCUGUGUUUCUAAGAGGAGCUCUCUGAGAGCUGCCUGGCACCUUGCCUGGGCUGGCAGCUAACAGCUGCAAGCAACAAAUGGCAGGAGGAGCUGACAAGGUUCAUGUCCUGGCCAGCAUCUUGCUCUCAGCUCUGAUGAGACCCUCUGCUGAGCGCUUAAUGGCAGCUGGGCUUGCUGAUGCUUUUCACUGAAGUCUAGUCUGAAGGGGCUAUCUGUCCCUCCCUACGCACUCACUGGCAUGAAUCCCAAGAGCACUUGCCACCACCUGAAGCAGGAGCUGCCACCCUGGGGACACUGGGUAAUGAAUGUGUCUGGAUUCCUAGAUGCAGGAGAUGCUGGCUAGCUACACCAAGGCAAAUGAGGAGUAGGAGUGGAGAUGGACCUUGGGGAGAGCUUUCACCGUGGAGCUGGGAGCAUUGUGAAGCCCUCAAGGAAUUGCUCAGGUGACAGCCUCAUGAAUUGAUCUCUCCAGCAUCACCACUCAGUGGGUGGCAAAUAGGAAUGCAUCCCCACCAGGUAAGUCUCUCUUCUCAUCCUCUCCCUUUUCUUUGGCCCUAGCAUCUUGUUUUACCCUGGGCAGCCAAAGUGGGUGUUUGUACAGGAAACAGGAAGGGCAAAUAAUGCUGGGGGUCAUGCAAAAUGAACUGCUCUGGUACACAACCAGGGCUCUGGGGUACUUCCCACUUGAAUAGACCUUGAAUUACCUGGUUCUCCUCCUCAGCUGGCAGCCCAAAGCAUGGGCAUGGGGAGGGGGCAAGGAGAGAACUUGGAAAGUUAGUGGAAAUUUGGACUUCGGGCCUUUGGCACCUCACACUGUGCUGGCUGAUUAGCCACUCCCAAAAUAUUGGAGUGACAGGAAGACUGAUGUGCAUUUCCAUCUUUCUGGGUUAAUAUCAUCUGUCGUACCAGGAUGCUGUGGUCCGGACUCCUGGGUUCCCAGAGCCAUUUUUCCCAUUAAUGACAUAAUUAAAGAUUUUGCCUUCUACCAACAUGGUGAGAAACAG
rnacentral:lncRNA from 1 species